UCGGGAAUUUUGGGCAAUGGGCGAAAGCCUGACCCAGCAACGCCGCGUGAGGGAGGAAGUAUUUCGGUAUGUAAACCUCGAAAGAAUGGGAAGAAUAAAUGACGGUACCAUCUAUAAGCUCCGGCUAACUACGUGCCAGCAGCCGCGGUAAUACGUAGGGAGCAAGCGUUGUACGGAUUUACUGGGCGUAAAGGGCGCGUAGGCGGCGCGGUAAGUCACUUGUGAAAUCUCUGAGCUUAACUCAGAACGGCCAAGUGAUACUUCUGUGCUAGAGUGCGGAAGAGGCAACCGGAAUUCUUGGUGUAGCGGUGAAAUGCGUAGAUAUCAAGAGGAACACCUGAGGCGAAGGCGGGUUGCUGGGCCGACACUGACGCUGAUGCGCGAAAGCCAGGG
rnacentral:rRNA from 1 species